rnacentral:rRNA from 1 species
AAAUUGAAGAGUUUGAUCAUGGCUCAGAUUGAACGCUGGCGGCAGGCCUAACACAUGCAAGUCGAACGGUAACAGGAAACAGCUUGCUGUUUCGCUGACGAGUGGCGGACGGGUGAGUAGUGUCUGGGAAACUGCCUGAUGGAGGGGGAUAACUACUGGAAACGGUAGCUAAUACCGCAUAACGUCGCAAGACCAAAGAGGGGGACCUUAGGGCCUCUUGCCAUCGGAUGUGCCCAGAUGGGAUUAGCUAGUAGGUGGGGUAA